rnacentral:siRNA from 1 species
GUCGUGCUAACACAAGUCUCUUAG